ensembl:lncRNA
GACUCACCUGGCUCUCAGAGGAUGUGGCCUUAACUGAUUCUUCCACCCCACUCUUCUCCUCCUCCAGUGUGUGUAGAUAUGGAUGUGAUUGUGUUUUGUUAUUUUUCGGUUUCAAAAUGCACACACACACACACACACACACACACACACACUAGUACACACACGCACACUGCCAAAACUGACAGCCUAUUUCGUCGCCACACUCUCGAUCAUGACCACCAGCUUAAAUGUGAAGAACUUUCAGCCUUUAAUUUGUUUUUUUUAUACAUGUUAAGAAUAUGUUUUUGUUUCUUUUCGUUUUGACUUUUGUUUGAUUUUCUUCCGCAACCUGAUGGAGUGUCAGAGUACUUAAUGUCCUGCCACAAACCUGGGACUUCAUACACUGCCGAGAGGUAUUCUGGUAAAGGAAAAAGAGAACUGACAAAAGACAAAUUUGGUCAUGGAUUUGUGCCUAAUUGUUACAUGUUUUCUAUAAGACAUUUAAGCAAAUUGCUUUACGUGUGGAGAAACUUUGUUGUAAGGGAUUGCUUGCGUGUAUGAGCAAUUAUUUUUAAUGUGGUAUGUCCUUCCCAGCGUGAUGGUACAGUCUUACAUAUGUUAUGUAACCAAGCCCAGGGCUGAUGUCGAAUUGUCAUACAUUCUGUUGAUAUAUAUAUAUUAUUUUCCUAUUUCCUUGCUUGUAAGAGUUUUGGAGCAGUGCACCAAUGUUGCAAGGGAAAGAUCAAAUGAUUUGACAAUUGAAAAGAAAAAGACAAACUCUUGUGGACGGCGAGAACACACUGACCCAUACAAUUAGUGUGUGUGUGUGUGUGUGCGUGCGUGUGUGCCCCGAGACCCUGACCUGUCCCAUGAAACCGUUGGAAAGAGAGGGCAUCACUCUCCAAGCUCAUCCAUAGUGGGUCGAAUCAGUUGCCCACCAAGCCCGUUCUCAUCGAUUGAACAUCAACUCUAUUGUGACUUCAGUUCUCCUUCGUUGGCGCAGGAGGAAAUGCUGCUUUAUUUAUUAAAGCAUGGGUGGACAAAGACGAAGCACAGUUGUAAAUAUUAGACUUAAGAUUAUGGGUGUACGCGUGCAGUGCAUUUCCGUUCCUGCGAUGUUGGUGUAAACCAUACGCGAGAGACCCGCGCCUCACCGAGUGAUCAGUCACAGUCGCUGUUACUUAAUCGUGACGUGGUUUUCCAGAAGAUGCCAGCAGACAAUUUGUGUCUCUUGAUUGACAUUCUAAAUAACCUGAGAGCAAUCUAGGUUGCUUUGAUUAAGAAAUGUAAUCGGCCCUACAGUUGUAGUAGCAGAUAACACUAGAUACUUUAUUUUCUGAAAAAAAAGAAUAAAAAAAAGAGCAUUCCCAGUUGGCCCCUCCCCCUUGGACCUAAGUACGUUGCUCCGUCGUCGGACUGAGACGAGAUCGGUGUGUUCAUUCACCUCCUCUAUACAUGAAUCGGAUAUUUCACUUACACGUCGGGCAAAAUUAAAUAUAUAUAUAUAAGAAUAUAUAUUUUUUUGUUAGUCUAUACACUUUAGAUUUCUAAAUAUCAAAUGGCAAUAUUAGUCAGAGGUUUAGAGUGUACUGUAGGAGAGUUGAGUGUUGAGGGGAUAUUUGAGAUUUAGUUGAAUUUUAAAGUGAAUUCAGCCGUCUUUCUCAGCUCAGCCUAAACGCCAGAGACCCCCAGAUCACAUUGGGAAGGAAGUCAGAUAUAGCGCUAUAAUCCGUUUAUAAACGUUUUCCCGCCAUGAAUUGAUCCUCUAAAAGUGAUAAAAUGGUCCGGAAAAAAAAUAUUUUCCAUGGUUUGAGUUAAGGGAAUUUAUAAGAAGAUGUAUUCGAAGUUACUCAGAUGAUUUUCUUUCUUGUCCUUUUUGGGAGUGUGCGGGUGGAGUACGUGCCACUGUCCUCACAGUGAUCUCAGAGCGAGGCACCGUGAGGCAUUUUGCGCGAAGGGAUUUUUAUUUUAUUUCAUCCCCCCCCCCCCCAACUCCCUCACAGUAAAUAUGCAACUGGUUUGUGAAUGUAGCUGCCAUUCAAAUGUGGGUCGCCUCCAUUUUCACAUCAUAUUCCUUGGGGUUUGUGAGUCCAGUAUCAUUUUCAUAUCAUUUAAAUAGUUUUCUUGUGUUCACACUCUGGUUGCAGCCGUGGUGCAGCUUGCUUCAGCAUUCUGUGUGUUUCUUUUGGAGGCAGUCAUCGGUGUGAGAGUGUAAGAUAGAAGAUGAUAUGGAGAUCAAAAACAGUGUUAUUGAUUGUGAUACCUUCCCCAUUUCACGUGGUGAAUGAUCUCGACGAAAAUGUUUAUACCGACUGAAGGCGGAGUAGCCUUCUUGUGUGUCCAGUUAUCAUAGUAUUGUUGAAAGAUCUAAGUUGAAAAUUGUAGAAAAGGAGACGAUGAAAAAAAAAAAAAUGACUUAUACAAAUCAAUAGUGUGGCCUUUUUCAUUCUCGAGACUUAAGAUGUCAUGAUGGGAGAGUGAUACCUUAUCAGUGCCUGAACUUGUAUUUUCAUUUAAAACCGUUUUUUUUUUGUAAACCAUAUCAUUUCAUUUAUCAUGGGAGAUCUGAGAGGUACCUGUCCGUCCACCCCCCCAUUCCCCCCCUCCCUUUUUUUCUUUCAGGAAGAAGUCUACAUGUUAUAUACAGACCAUUUCCUUCAAUGUAUCUAGUUAAACAAAUAAAUGAAGUGUAGUGCUUGUUUAGUUUUUAUUCCUCUCUUAAUUAUUCAACUGGAUUACGACCAUAUUGUCCAAACUGCUGUUUGAGUUAAGUUUGUGGAUGCAGGUUAUACUUUAAUUUUAUAUUUUUUUCCCCCUGACUGCACCAUAUUGCCAAACCACUCAGCACUACUGGUUUCCAGAGACUCUGGUGUCAAGCACUCCUUCUGUUUCAUGCACAAUGGCGUGUCGGUGUGUGCGCGGCUUCUGCGUCGAGCCUUGGCCAACUGGAUCGCAUACUUUUUGUUUUUAGUAACUAUCACCAAUUUUUCCCUGAAUAUCAUGGGGCAAGUAAACCACAGUAAUGUGCAUUAUUAUAUUGACUGACCUUACCUUUAAUCUGACGCCACUCUUUUAGGACUUUUUGCCAGAGACUUCUUUCAAAAGGUUGUUUUUGAGGUGAUGUUAUUUGACAAGAUUUAGACACGCGUUUUAGACAUGACUAUAUUUCUGUUCCUGAGGAAAAGAUCUCAUGCCAUUUAGUAUUCUGUGAACAUCCCCAGGGCCACGACAUUCAGCAUUCGGGCUGUAUUCUCACUCAUCGGAUGGGGCCAAAUACAAGGGGUUGUAUUACCGUUUUAUACCAAGUCUUGACAUGUGCUGAUGAAAAAUGCUUUGUUGACAGGCCCUUACUUUGCUACAAUAAGGUGUUAGUAUGAAUUUAUUUCAACCCCCGCCCUCCCCAUUAUUAUUUUGUCAUGUAUUUGUUGAACUAAAAAGGGAGAGGGAGAUUGAUUGAUUUAUAAGUGUUGAGAAAAAGUAGAUCCACAGCUACGGAACAGACAUCUUACUUAAACGGAGUGAGGACGACUUCAUGACUGCUGCAGCGUCCUCGGAGUGCCUCCAAUCCCAGUCUCCUUUUCUUAUUUUGUUUAUAUAUUAUAUAUAAAGUAGUUGAACUGUCCUGUAUAUAACAGUAAUGUAGCAAUAAAUGUGCCAUUUUUAAUAACAGAACUAUACAUUUUCCAAUGUCUGGCUUUUGAAUCUUGUAUACAUAAAAAGAAAAUAAAGGAAAACAUUGUAAUAAAGGGUUUAUUGUAGUUCAAAAAUGAAUUUG